AACGAACGCUGGCGGCAUGCCUAACACAUGCAAGUCGAACGAACCCUCCGGGGUUUUUGGCGCACGGGUGCGUAAGGCGAGGGGAUCUGCCCUUUGCUUCGGAAUAACUCAGGGAAACUUGUGCUAAUACCGGAUGAUGUCUUCGGACGAAAGAUUUAUCGGCACGGGAUGAGCCAGCGUAGGAUUCGGUCGUUGGUGGGGUAAAGGCCUCCCAAGCCGACGAUCCUUAGCUGGUCUGAGAGGAUGAUCAGCAACACUGGGACUGAGACACGGCCCAGACUCCUACGCGAGGCGGCAGUGGGGAAUAUUGGACAAUGGGCGCAAGCCUGAUCCAGCAAUGCCGCGUGAGUGAUGAAGGCCCUCGGGUCGUAAAGCUCUUUUACCAGGGAUGAUAAUGACAGUACCUGGAGAAUAAGCUCCGGCUAACUCCGUG
rnacentral:rRNA from 1 species